GGACGGUACAACUAGAGCGCCUAUUGUCCGGUUUUUGUCGUGCCAACGUGCUAUGGAACUUAAGCCUUCCUAGGAGAAUCCAGAUCACUUCGAAACGUCGGCUGUCAUUUUCAACAGAUUUGCGAGGCUACAAACUGGUCACUGUACAUUGGCAGGAAAAAAAUGGCUAUGUAUGGUUCAGUUGUAACACCGGUGUGGUGCAAUGGGGAUGAACAUGGUAACCAAAGGUGUGCAUAAUGUUAUUGAGUUCCUCAGCGAUGAUUCCCCUGACAUGGAUGUGAUCGGAAUCUCUGAUAACUUCUUCUCCGACAUUAACAAACCUGCUGCAAUGAACUGCAUCGAGGGACCUGGCAGUAAUUAAAAGAGAG